rnacentral:lncRNA from 1 species
GGAAAAUUACAAUUGUCCCAGAAUAGGGCAGCACGGCGUUCUCUUAAAUGUACACAGAGGGCUAACAUUAAUACUAUGCAUGUCAAUCUCUCCUGGCUCAAAGUGGAGGAGAGAUUGACUUCAUCAAUACUUGUAUUUGUGAAAAGUAUUGACAUGUUGAAUGCAGCGAGCUGUCUGUUUAAACUACUAGCACACAGCUCAGACACCCAUGCAUACCCCACAAGACAUGCCACCAGAGGUCUCUUCAAAGUCUCCAAGUCCAGAACAGGCUAUGGGAGGCACACAGUACUACAUAGAGCCAUGACUACAUGGAACUCUAUUCCACGUCAAGUAACUGAUGCAAGCAGUAAAAUCAGAUUUAAAAACCAGACAAAACUACACCUUAUGGAACAGCAGGGACUGUGAAGAGACACACACAUGCAUACACACACGUACAGUACACAUGGAUAUUAUGUUGUAGAUAUGUGGUAGUGGCCUGAAGGAACACAGUGUUGUGAAAUGUAAUGUUUUUAGAACUGCCUUAAUGUUCCUGGAGCCCAGGAAGAGUAGCUGCUGCCUUGGCAGGAACUAAUGAGGAUCCAUAAUAAAACCCAGGAAGAGAAGCUGCUGCCUUGGCAGGAACUAAUGGGGAUCCAUAAUAACCCCAGGAACAGUAUCUGCUGCCUUGGCAGGAACUAAUGGGGAUCCAUAAUAACCCCAGGAACAGUAGCUGCUGCCUUGGCAGGAACUAAUGAGGAUCCAUAAUAACCCCCAGGAAGAGUAGCUGCUGCCUUGGCAGGAACUAAUGGGGAUCCAUAAUAAACCCCAGGAAGAGUAGCUGCUGCCUUGGCAGGAACUAAUGAGGAUCCAUAAUAAACCCCAGGAAGAGUAGCUGCUGCCUUGGCAGGAACUAAUGAGGAUCCAUAAUAAACCCCAGAAGAGUAGCUGCUGCCUUGGCAGGAACUAAUGAGGAUCCAUAAUAAACCCCAGGAAAAGUAGCUGCUGCCUUGGCAGGAACUAAUGAGGAUCCAUAAUAACCCCAGGAAGAGUAGCUGCUGCCUUGGCAGGAACUAUUGAGGAUCCAUAAUAAACACUAGUACAAAUACAUGUUGUUCAACUCUGUGCUGGUGGUUGUUGUGGCAACCCUGAAGGAGGAAAUGGAGAAGAGGUCUCACUUUUACUUGCUGUCCUACAACAGGUACCUCAGUGGUGAUCAUUGUGUGUGUGAGUCUGGCUGUGUUGGUGUUUGCUGUCAUCACCCUCAUAUUCUACAGGUGCUGACGACGCAACAAGGCUCUAGGGUCAAUCUCGAACAGGCCUGAUGCAGACACAGGAAGCACUGAAGAGGUUGAUGAUGAGGAAGAUGGUGAUGAUGAAGAAAAUAUAACUUCCACCCACAAUGCAGCGGCCCCUCAGCCCGUGUCUACCGCUGACCCAGAAUGCAUUGCUCAUGUCCCCGCCCUCUACCAAUCAGCCUUUUAAGCACUCGACCCUAAAGCAUUGGACCAGAACCUCAACAAUAUCACAACUACUAACUCCGGAUAGACUGUAGCACAGAGAUCCUAAUAAAAUCUG